rnacentral:rRNA from 1 species
CCUACGGGAGGCAGCAGUGAGGAAUAUUGGUCAAUGGGCGCGAGCCUGAACCAGCCAAGUAGCGUGAAGGAUGACUGCCCUACGGGUUGUAAACUUCUUUUAUAAAGGAAUAAAGUGAGGCUCGUGUGCCUUUUUGUAUGUACUUUAUGAAUAAGGAUCGGCUAACUCAGUGCCAGCAGACGCGGUAAUACGGAGGAUCCGAGCGUUAUCUGGAUUUAUUGUGUUUAAAGGGAGCGUAGAUGGGUUGUUAAGUCAGUUGUGAAAGUUUGCGGCUCAACCGUAAAAUUGCAAUUGAUACUGGCAGUCUUGAGUACAGGUGAGGUAGGCGGAAUUCGUGGUGUAGCGGUGAAAUGCGUAGAUAUCACGAAGAACACCGAUUGCGAAGGCAGCUUACUAAACUGCCACUGACAUUGAGGCUCGAAAGUGUGGGUAUCAAACAGGAUUAGAGACCCUUGUAGUC